rnacentral:rRNA from 1 species
CGCGCAGGCGGCCAUUCAAGUCAGGGGUGAAAGCCCGGAGCUCAACUCCGGAAUUGCCUUUGAAACUGGGUGGCUCGAGUACGGAAGAGGUGAGUGGAAUUCCCAGUGUAGAGGUGAAAUUCGUAGAUAUUGGGAAGAACACCGGUGGCGAAGGCGGCUCACUGGUCCGUUACUGACGCUCAUGCGCGACAGCGUGGGGAUCAAACAGGAUUAGAUACCCUGGUAGUCCACGCCGUAAACGAUGGAUGCUAGCCGUUGGGCAGCUUGCUGUUCAGUGGCGCAGCUAACGCAUUAAGCAUCCCGCCUGGGGAGUACGGCCGCAAGGUUGAA